AACGAACGCUGGCGGCAGGCUUAACACAUGCAAGUCGAACGCCCCGCAAGGGGAGUGGCAGACGGGUGAGUAACGCGUGGGAAUCUACCUAGUUCUACGGAACAACAGUUGGAAACGACUGCUAAUACCGUAUACGCCCUACGGGGGAAAGAUUUAUCGGAAUUAGAUGAGCCCGCGUAAGAUUAGCUAGAUGGUGAGGU
rnacentral:rRNA from 1 species